rnacentral:rRNA from 1 species
CCAGCCAGGAUGAGGUUUCUCAGACUCAGUAAUGUGUCUGAAGCUAAGCAAGUUUGGGCCUGGUUAGUACUUGGAUGGGCAACCAACUCAGGAAGCUGGGCUACGGCUGGA